rnacentral:rRNA from 1 species
UGGUACCUUCGGGAACUGUGAGACAGGUGCUCCAUGGCUGUCGUCAGCUCGUGUUGUGAAAUGUUGGGUUAAGUCCCGCAACGAGCGCAACCCUUAUCCUUUGUUGCCAGCGGUCCGGCCGGGAACUCAAAGGAGACUGCCAGUGAUAAACUGGAGGAAGGUGGGGAUGACGUCAAGUCAUCAUGGCCCUUACGACCAGGGCUACACACGUGCUACAAUGGCGCAUACAAAGAGAAGCGACCUCGCGAGAGCAAGCGGACCUCAUAAAGUGCGUCGUAGUCCGGAUUGGAGUCUGCAACUCGACUCCAUGAAGUCGGAAUCGCUAGUAAUCGUGGAUCAGAAUGCCACGGUGAAUACGUUCCCGGGUCUUGUACAC